GCGUGGUGUGCGUCCUCUGAGGCGUGUUU
rnacentral:sRNA from 1 species